rnacentral:rRNA from 1 species
AACGCGAAGAACCUUACCUGGGUUUGACAUCACCGGAAAUCCUUCAGAGAUGGGGGGUCCUUCGGGGCCGGUGACAGGUGGUGCAUGGCUGUCGUCAGCUCGUGUCGUGAGAUGUUGGGUUAAGUCCCGCAACGAGCGCAACCCUCGUUCGAUGUUGCCAGCGCGUUAUGGCGGGGACUCAUCGAAGACUGCCGGGGUCAACUCGGAGGAAGGUGGGGAUGACGUCAAGUCAUCAUGCCCCUUAUGUCCAGGGCUUCACGCAUGCUACAAUGGCCGGUACAAUGGGCUGCGAUACCGUGAGGUGAGCGAAUCCCAAAAAGCCGGUCUCAGUUCGGAUCGGGGUCUGCAACUCGACCCCGUGAAGUCGGAGUCGCUAGUAAUCGCAGAUCAGCAACGCUGCGGUGAAUACGUUCCCGGGCCUUGUACACACCG